UUACAGUCGUGGGUCUACAGGAUGUACAGUAGGGAGCUGAGAACGCAUCCUUGGGGGGCUCCAGUGUGGAGUGUUAUCUUGGAGGAGGAGCAGUUGUCUAUCUUCACUAUCAAGAUGCCGGAAUAAGCAUUUCGUAAACUUUCAGGUCUCCAUUCUCACCUGUUGAAGACAGGGAUAUCUGUUGACCAACCCAUCUCUCAAUGUGAAUGGGCAGGUAGAGAAACAACGGCAGAAUUUUACCAAAGGUGAUUGGACAAGACAUUCAAGCGAAACAUGGGUCUCCAGCUCAACACUGACUGGCACUAGGCCUGACCUGGUGAUGUUAUCAUAGUGGACACUGGGCACACUGGUGGAUUGAUGUGCUCAGAAUGUUGCCGGCCCAAUUACAGAACAGGAAGCUCUCAAGUCUCGGCAGUGCCACUAGGAGAAAUAGACCCUGCCUGAGGAGGGAAACCUUGAGGCUCCACUAGAGAAAAGGGAGAGAGAUGUUUUCUAUUUACUGGGUCUGGAUGAUUCAGGCUGCUCUGUCUUCAUGCAGCAAUGUAAGGUGAGCCAAAAAUUCCCAUCAGUUGUUGGACAUACCCUGAACUUAAAACCCUCUGAAGGGAGAAGUUAUGGGAAUUACAGUAUAUUGGAUUAAUGUCACUGGGACUCCAGAAACCAUGGGCUGCAACUGAGCCAGGAAAAGGCUGGCUGGAACAGACUGGGGAAUAUACAAGCCCAGGGGCAGAUGUCUGGGACAGGGGCUCGCUAAGCGAAACCAAAAGCCUCAGCUAAAACAAUGUAAGCCAGUCUACAGAAAAUAAACAACCUCAACAAUUUCAGACCCUUUGGAGCCUACACAGGUAUCAAAUCGUUCAUUUCCAAAUCAAUACUCAGGCACAAAGGUACUGAACAUUCCACGCCAUUGUGUUACAUGAAAACCUGUUUCAUCUUGGAACCUUCACACCACUAUGCGAAUUGCACAGAUACUCAUCCAAAGGAAAUGUCGGACAUUCCAAACCCAUCAAAACCAUUCUUUCCAAUUGAAAAAUGAUUAUCACUCACUCCAGUGCUCAGGAAACCUUUUCAAUCCUGAAAAGGGGAUCAAUAACUCACAGAUUUGGUGGGAGAUAAGGGGGGUCCUGCAGUGGGGUAUAACUGGAGACCCCGAGCCCAGCAUAAGAGGGAGAGUGCAACGAAGUGGAAGGUGCAACGAAAAGUGAAGGAAGAGACAGAAGCAAGAAAAGAGAGUGAGAAUCCUGCACUGUGAACGAGGCACUGUGAAACCAGAAGAGCGAGACCAAAUACUGAAAACUAAGUACAAACCUCCACUCGACGUCUGGAGGCGACUGAAGGCAUCCUGAGAUACGACACACCAACCGGGGCAACAUCAGCAACAUUCUCCACCAGCCACAACAACAACCCACUCGCAAAACCACCAGGAGGAGGAGAAAAAUCAGGGUAACUCACCAGGCCGGUCCCACGCAUCAACCGGAUCGACAGACACCACCCGACUGACUAUUAUCGGUACAUGCAGCCCUUCGCGGAGUCCCAGCUACGGCAAGCGACUAUUUCAAAGCCAGUCGAAAUCGUGGUUUUCACACCAGGGAUGGGCCUAAGAUCAUUGAGACCUCUAACCCAGCUGGGCUAGUCAUAGACAGGGAAGUGGGGUUUGGAGUUUAACGGUGUAGGGCACCUCUGAGGAAGGGAAGUGGAUGAGAACAGGUAACUCUCUCUCUCGCUCUCUCUCUCUUUCCCUAUUAGUACAGUAACAGUCACCCAUUGUAUUUAUUUUACCCACUGUAUUUAAUUAACUGGGAGACAGUCUUGGUCAGAGACGGGGGGACGUGGUUUCAAUUUGAUAUUCACUUU